CAAGAAUUAAAAGAGUGUAUUCGUGAAGGUUUUAGGAUAAGGGAGGUGGGUUUUUGAGAGAAUAGGAUGGAUUGAAUCCUGGUGGGUGUGACUGCGAAGAAGCAUGUAGAAAUGGCUGCCAUUUACUAUAAAUAUCUUCUUCCAAAUCAAGACAUUCCCAUGAAAAAAAAGAGGUUUUUGAAUUUGUUUGUCCGUCUCUUUUGCCGUCAACUCUCUUGCUGGUCUUGAAUUUGGAAUUUGCUGGGUGAAGGAGGAGGAUGAAUG
rnacentral:misc_RNA from 1 species